rnacentral:rRNA from 1 species
AACGAACGCUGGCGGCAUGCCUAACACAUGCAAGUCGAACGAGACCUUCGGGUCUAGUGGCGCACGGGUGCGUAACGCGUGGGAACCUGCCCUUAGGUUCGGAAUAACUCCCCGAAAGGGGUGCUAAUACCGGAUAAUGUCUUCGGACCAAAGAUUUAUCGCCUUUGGAUGGGCCCGCGUUGGAUUAGCUAGUUGGUAGGGUAAAAGCCUACCAAGGCGACGAUCCAUAGCUGGUCUGAGAGGAUGAUCAGCCACACUGGGACUAAGACACGGCCCAGACUCCUACGGGAGGCAGCAGUGGGGAAUAUUGGACAAUGGGCGAAAGCCUGAUCCAGCAAUGCCGCGUGAGUGAUGAAGGCCUUAGGGUUGUAAAGCUCUUUUACCCGGGAUGAUAAUGGCAGUACCGGGAGAAUAAGCUCCGGCUAACCCCGUG